GACGAACGCUGGCGGCGUGCCUAACACAUGCAAGUCGAACGGGGUGAAGCCCUUCGGGACUUCACUUAGUGGCGAACGGGUGAGUAACGCGUGAGGAACCUGCCUUUCAGUGGGGGACAACAGUUGGAAACGACUGCUAAUACCGCAUGAUACUUUUUGAUGGCAUCAUCGAAAAGUCAAAGAUUUAUUGCUGAAAGAUGGCCUCGCGUCUGAUUAGCUAGUUGGCGGGUAACGGCCCACCAAGGCGACGAUCAGUAGCCGGUCUGAGAGGAUGAACGGCCACAUUGGGACUGAGAUACGGCCCAGACUCCUACGGGAGGCAGCAGUGGGGAAUAUUGGGCAAUGGGCGAAAGCCUGACCCAGCAACGCCGCGUGAAGGAAGAAGGCCUCGGGUUGGUAAACUUACUUUUACCUAGGUACGAAGGACG
rnacentral:rRNA from 1 species